GUGCCAGCAGCUGCGGUUAUACAAAAAAUACAAGUUAAUUUUAUUAAAUUAAGUUAAAUUGAUAAAUAUUUAAUAAUAAAAAAAUUUUUAAGUGAAAUUUUAAUUUUUUUAUUUUUAAAAUUGAAAAAAGUGUUGAAGCUAAAAAAUUUUAUUAAUAAACUAGGAUUAGAUACCCUAUUAUAAAAAAUGUAUUUUAUAAAAAUUAGAGUAGUAAUAGUUAUGAUCUUGAAACUCAAAAAAUUUGGCGGUAUUUUAGUCUAUUCAGAGGAACCUGUGGUGUAAUCGAUAAUCCACGAUGAAUCUUACUUAUUUUUGUUUUUCAAUUUGUAUACCGCCGUUAUUUAAAAAUUUUUUGAAAAUAAUAAUUUUUAUAGUUUUUUAUUAAACAGAAAGUCAGGUCAAGGUGCAGUUUAUAUUUAAGUAUUUCAUGGGUUACAAUAAAUUUAUUUAUAUGGAUUAAGUUAUGAAAUUAAUUUAUGAAGGUGGAUUUGGUAGUAAAUUUUUAAAGAUUAGAAAAUUGAUUUUAGCUCUAA
rnacentral:rRNA from 1 species